rnacentral:rRNA from 1 species
AUACGGAGGAUGCGAGCGUUAUCCGGAUUUAUUGGGUUUAAAGGGAGCGUAGGCGGGAGCUUAAGUCAGCGGUUAAAUGGUGCGGCUCAACCGUGCCCUGCCGUUGAAACUGGGUUUCUUGAGAGUGCAAGAGGCGGAUGGAAUUCAUGGUGUAGCGGUGAAAUGCUUAGAUAUCAUGAAGAACUCCGAUUGCGAAGGCCGUCCGCUGGGGCACGUCUGACGCUGAUGCUCGAAGGUGCGGGAAUCAAACAGGAUUAGAUACCCUGGUAGUCCGCACGGUAAACGAUGAUUACCCGCUGUCGGCGGCAGACAGUCGGCGGCCAAGCGAAAGCGAUAAGUAAUCCACCUGGGGAGUACGCCGGCAACGGUGAAACUCAAAUGAAUUGACGGGG